CACUAUGGUUAAUGCACCAACACACUAAUGAUUCGAUAUGGUGAUAAUCAAAACAUAAGGUAAAUAAACUUGAAGGUGCUCCAGUUCACAGUAGUAACUCUUGACCCAAGCUACAUAAACAGACCAAAAAGCCGAGCCUAUUAAUAUUACCCAGUAAACAAAAAAAUUCUCAAGUUAUUGUAGGUUUUAAGACCUGAUAGGAUCUUUAUGAAAACCUCUGUUCACUUUCUUGGAUCUCCUACCGAACAGAGAAGUGUCUUCUAGCUCCUGCCCUCCUGACUCCUAAGUAGAUCUACCUCAAAUGUCUCCUUCCUCAUCUCCUGGCUCUCUCACCAUCUUGUGGGAAGAUUAGUUAGGUGGCAAUGGAAAAAUGGCAGGGCAGGAAAACUGUUUAUUUUUGAGAAUUUAACAAGUUUUCUUCAUACGUUGAACCAUCAUGAAGCCCUAAUAAAAUGCACUCUCUUACACUCAUGCUUACAUGUACAUGCAUAUAUUUGCUGCUUUUCUAUGUGAUUUAAACUAAGGACUGAGUGGUACAAAUUAGCAUAUUAAUUCCCCCUGUUCAGAUGCUUUUUCUUCAAUAUGUAAUUAGUUUCAACUUGAACUGCAGAGAAUCUAGUGAACUCUACACCCCAUCCCAUUCCCCUUUCCCCAAAAUAAAACCUCAUUACAUUUAAGCAGUGCUUGUCAAGUUUUAUUUUGCUCCUCACAUUAAGUCAUGCUAUUUAAGAUAAGCACUCCUCCAUGUCAGCAUUUAUUAUUGGUGCCAGACUACAUUCUGUCACACUAGUCACACACUAUUCAGUCU